GAGCACUGCCACAGGGUUUCCUGAACGCCCCUCUAAACCUUCGCAAAGAUACUCCAAAUCCUACAAGACAACACAGCGGGCAAUAGUGAUAGGAAGAUGCUUGGCUUCCUGUAGUUUACGAAAGAGGAUGGGGCUUGGGUGCACAGCCAUGGGAUCUAAAUAAGGAGUAUACCCAUUGAGAAGGUAUGACAAGCAUAUUCCGGAAGGGCCAUUACCUGUGAAGGGGAGAUGGGAGAGAAGGUAACAAUAUUUUUGUGCAUCUUUUAUUCUUAAAUAUACAAUAUUAUUAUGAAAUAUUUCUUUACAUCCAUACUAACUAAGAGCCAUCACGAUUGGUUGAUGCUGUAAACACCCGUCUUUCAUUCAUCUGAUAAUGUUUGCUCCUUGAUGACUCACCAAUGAUGACUACUGGCACAGUUCGAGUACAGUCCCUCGGCACGGAACUUUCUUCCAGCAGAGGCAUAGUGGUAGCCAGAAUUAGAGCUGGCACUGAUAAACACACACACA